UUGGGCUGUCUCCUGCAGAAAAGAGUGAAGUAAAGACAGAUGUCUUCUGUGGACCCACCCCAGCCGUUCAGUCACCACAGGGUCACUUACAACAGCUCAGGACUUGAAUGGAAGAGCAAGCCUUAAGAUAGGCACUACCAUCAGACCCACUUGAGAAAAUGGAGACUCACAAUUUGCCCACGACCCCACAGCAGGCAAGCAGAAGAGCCACUUCAGACAUUUCACUGAUCUUCUAGUUUGUACAACAGGACUUCUGAUUCUCUUUUCACCUCCCCACGUACAUUUGCCUGACAGGGGGCUUUCCGACGCAGAAGACAAUGGGAGAUUCGUGUUCACUAACACUUUCCCGUAAUAACGUUCAGGAAAAAAAUAAUAGGUUACUGGCCGGAUGAUGCAUUUCUGUACAUCGUGAGGGAGGGAUGGUUCCUAAGUUCAUUUUAUCUUAUUCUAGACCGGGAGCUCUAGGAAGGAGACAAGAACCGAGCCUCCAUCCAGCUGAGGAUGACUCAUUCCUGGGGCAGAUAACGCAUUUCUGAGGCCCAGAACUUCACUACAUCAAAUCUUUUGAAAACCUGUUUAUUGGUGUUCUUAAAGACAAGAACAUGACGAGCUUUCGUAAUCCUUCACCUCAAGGUUGAGUGAUAGAAUACUAGAGAUGUUUUGGAGUUCCUUUGCUUACUGCAAAGCAUCCAAAGAGGAAUGGGUGGGCGGAUAAUAAAAAUAACAAUACUAACAUUAGCUGCAAGUACUGAGCGCUUAAUAAAUGGUAGUGAAUGUUG